GGGGUAUAGCUCAGUUGGUAGAGUGUUUGUCUCUCAAGCACAAGAUCCUGGGUUCAAUCCCCAGCACCAAUA